rnacentral:rRNA from 1 species
AUUGAACGCUGGCGGCAGGCUUAACACAUGCAAGUCGAGCGGUAGCACAGGGGAGCUUGCUCCCUGGGUGACGAGCGGCGGACGGGUGGGUAAUGUCUGGGAAACUGCCUGAUGGAGGGGGAUAACUACUGGAAACGGUAGCUAAUACCGCAUAACGUCGCAAGACCAAAGAGGGGGACCUUCGGGCCUCUUGCCAUCAGAUGUGCCCAGAUGGGAUUAGCUAGUAGGUGGGGUAAUGGCUCACCUAGGCGACGAUCCCUAGCUAGUCUGAGAGGAUGACCAGCCACACUGGAACUGAGACACGGUCCAGACUCCUACGGGAGGCAGCAGUGGGGAAUAUUGCACAAUGGGCGCAAGCCUGAUGCAGCCAUGCCGCGUGUGUGAAGAAGGCCUUCGGGUUGUAAAGCACUUUCAGCGAGGAGGAAGGUGGUGAGCUUAAUACGUUCAUCAAUUGACGUUACUCGCAGAAGAAGCACCGGCUAACUCCGUG